AAAGGAAUUGACGGGGACCCGCACAAGCGGUGGAGCGUGUUGUUUAAUUCGAUGGUAAGCGAAGAACCUUACCCAGGCUUGACAUCCUUGGAAGCUCUACGAAAGUAGAGUGUGCUUUUAGAGCCAAGUGACAGGUGAUGCAUGGCCGUCGUCAGCUCGUGUCGUGAGAUGUUUGGUUAAGUCCAUCAACGAGCGCAACCCUUGUAGUUAGUUGAAUUUUUCUAGCUAGACUGCCCUGGUAACAGGGAGGAAGGAGGGGAUGAUGUCAGGUCAGUAUUUCCCUUACGUCUGGGGCUACAAACACGCUACAAUGGCCGGUACAAAGGGCAGCCAAGUCGCGAGACGGAGCAAAUCCCAUCAAAGCCGGUCCCAGUUCGGAUAGCAGGCUGAAACUCGCCUGCUUGAAGUCGGAAUCGCUAGUAACGGUAGGUCAGCUAUACUACCGUGAAUACGUUCCCGGGUCUUGUACACACCGCCCGU
rnacentral:rRNA from 1 species